GGAGUCUGGGCCGUGUCUCAGUCCCAAUGUGGCCGUUCACCCUCUCAGGCCGGCUACUGAUCGUCGCUUUGGUAGGCCGUUACCCUGCCAACUGGCUAAUCAGACGCGGGUCCAUCGUAUGCCACCGGAGUUUUUCACACAGGAUCAUGCGAUCUCGUGCGCUUAUGCGGUAUUAGCAGUCGUUUCCAACUGUUGUCCCCCAGCAUACGGCAGGUUACCCACGCGUUACUCACCCGUCCGCCACUAGAUAUACAACUUAGCAAGCUAAAAAGUAUAUCCCGUUCGACUUGCAUGUGUUAAGCACGCCGCCAGCGUUCAUC
rnacentral:rRNA from 1 species